AUUGAACGCUGGCGGCAUGCCUUACACAUGCGAGUCGAACGGCAGCACGGGUGCUUGCACCUGGUGGCGAGUGGCGAACGGGUGAGUAAUACAUCGGAACAUGUCCUGUAGUGGGGGAUAGCCCGGCGAAAGCCGAUUAAUACCGCAUACGAACCACGGAUUAAAGGGGGGGACCUUCGGGCCUCGCGGUGUAGGGUUGGCCGAUGGCUGAUUAGCUAGUUGGUGAGGUAAAGGCCUACCAAGGCGACGAUCAGUAGCUGGUCUGAGAGGACGACCAGCCACACUGGGACUGAGACACGGCCCAGACUCCUACGGGAGGCAGCAGUGGGGAAUUUUGGACAAUGGGCGAAAGCCUGAUCCAGCAACGCCGCGUGUGUGAAGAAGGCCUUCGGGUUGUAAAGCACUUUUGUCCGGAAAGAAAUCCUUGGCCCUAAUACGGUCGGGGGAUGACGGUACCGGAAGAAUAAGCACCGGCUAACUACGUG
rnacentral:rRNA from 1 species